GUAACAAGGUUUCCGUAGGUGAACCUGCGGAAGGAUCAUUAUCGAACGAAGAAGGGGGAAAGACUGUGCUGGCGAAAGCAUCGUGCACGUCCGACCUUUUUCUAUUACAACACACCUGUGCACCUUUUGUAGGCCCUCGAAAGAGGAUCUAUGUAUUUUCAUCAUCACACCUAUCGUAUGUCUAGAACGUAAGAUCGUCGACCACUGGGCGGCGGUCGAAAACAAAUAUACAACUUUCAGCAACGGAUCUCUUGGCUCUCGCAUCGAUGAAGAACGCAGCGAAUUGCGAUAAGUAAUGUGAAUUGCAGAUUUUCAGUGAAUCAUCGAAUCUUUGAACGCACCUUGCGCUCCUUGGUAUUCCGAGGAGCAUGCCUGUUUGAGUGUCAUUGAAUUCUCAACCAUGUCUUGAUUGACAUGGCUUGGAGUUGGGGGUUGCUGGUAGCGAAAGCUCGUCAGCUCUCCUGAAAUGCAUUAGCGGGUGGACAAGCAAAGCCUUCCGACGUGAUAACGAUCGUCGUGGGGCCACGCAUCGACGUCUAUCUGCUUCCGAAUCCCCAGAUGCCUUAGCUACUAGUCGAAAGACGAACGCAAGGGAUCGUUCGAACGCUGACCUCAA
rnacentral:rRNA from 1 species